UACGUAGGGUGCAAGCGUUGUUCGGAAUUACUGGGCGUAAAGGGCGCGUAGGCGGGUGUGAAAGUCGAUUGUGAAAGCCCCAGGCUCAACCUGGGAAUUGCAGUCGAAACUCCACAUCUUGAGUGCUUGAGAGGAUGGUGGAAUUCCUGGUGUAGAAGUGAAAUUCGUAGAUAUCAGGAGGAACACCGGAGGCGAAGGCGGCCAUCUGGCAAGACACCGACGCUGGGGCGCGAAAGUGCGGGGAG
rnacentral:rRNA from 1 species